UCCCUUCACAAGGCCUUUGUAAUCUCUAUAUAGGGAUUGCCGGUUUCGACCGGCUAUGGCGAUAAAUUGUGAUGUGUAAUAGACGCAGCGGACCCGGGGGCAGUACCCGGCGGCUCCACCACAAACUCCGCUUCGGCGGAUGUUCUGACGGGGCCGAACCAGGAUCGACGUGUGUUCAAAGACAUUAUUUUCGCCCGGGCUGAGUAACCCGUUUAAGGCUCACAACACACAAGUGCCAACGAUAACGAAGCACUCGCAAUCGCUGCGUAAUUUUAAGGGCUAACGCCCCGAAUUUACAAAGCUAAGCGCGGUUGGACCCACCGGGCAACAGAAGGGAUUCCAGGGGCCUGGGGUGAGCCUUGCAACAGAAUCACCCCACU
rnacentral:tmRNA from 1 species